UUGAGGGUUUUCUUAAUGAAAGAUGUAAGCUAGAAGUCUAAGUGUACAAUUAGACUAAUAAAUAAUUAGACUUCUAACUUCAAAAUUUCAAUAAUUUAGCAUUCUCACACAACUUGUCUUUUACUUCUCCUUCAUUCAAGCUCUAAUACCAAGUAAUAAAAUUAUUUUAACAGGAUCAGCCCAUCAAAAGUACCACCAUAUGCCUUCUUUGCAAGAGCAAGCAGAAUGGAAAAAUGGAGUAGAAAUGAGAGCUCUCUGAACACAUAUAAGCCACAAUGUGAACUUCACCAGCUGUACAGCUGUUACAUUGCAAAAUGUUAUCUGACACAAGAAGAAUCUCUCUGAUGUCUUUGGUGAGGUGAUGUGGAUCUUCUACCACCCUAACAUGGUAUCAUUCCUGCAAUUAAAGGAUUCCCUCAAGUUGCACCACGAGGCGUACAGUUAAGAACCCAAACAAAGGCCUUCUGAACACCACUACUUUAAAGGAAUUGCUAAGCACCGGAGGAGCGCUGAGCGCGGACAGCCGCGCACCUUCACCGCCCCGCCCGCCAAGCGCC